rnacentral:rRNA from 1 species
CACGUAGGCGGCACGGUCAGUCUGCUGUGAAAGCCCCGGGCUCAACCUGGGAACUGCAGUGGAUACUGCCGCGCUAGAGUGUGAAAGAGGGGGGUGGAAUUCCAGGUGUAGCGGUGAAAUGCGUAGAGAUCUGGAGGAACACCAGUGGCGAAGGCGGCCCCCUGGUUCAACACUGACGCUGAGGUGCGAAAGCGUGGGGAGCAAACA